GGCAUGUAUUGGAAGAGCAAGAUGCUCUAGAGAAUAUAAAUCAUAUGAUGUGUUACUACGAGGAGCAUAAUACUACCAACAUUGAGAUCUUCUCAAUGCUUAUAAUGCAUAGAUAAAGAAAGAUCCCACUGCCCAGAAAUAAUUAUAAGUUACAAUGGCGAUGAUCUCAUCCAUGAAUGUGAAUAAUAUCUUAUUGCUCAUGCCACAUGGGCACACUUACGAGAGACAUAUGGCAAUACAACUAUGACUCUCCUCAGAUAGUUGAUAAUCAAGUUUGACACGUACACGAAAUUAAAUGAUCAUAGUGUCAAGCAACAUCGUAAGGUGAUGUUUGAAAUAAUUGGCCCACUUAAAGGUGUUGGUAAUGUUCUCUCCGAUGAGCAGCAAGUAGUGAUCUAGUCUCUUUCCAACUGUUGGAAACAUUUGAAGGUUAAUAUAACCCAUUAUGAUAACAUUAUAAGCUUUUCGAUGUUGCCAUCAUGUGGAGCUUGAAGAUGAGUAGCUUGGUGCUGCAAAAGCUAUACCUACUGCCUAUGUGGAAGAAUUAAGUGAUAAAAAGCUUUCAGACUUCAAACAUAAGAAGAUUUAAUAAAGGACAGAAAUAACAAAGAUUUAAUAAGAAGAUAUGGAUCCUUCAAGAAAAAGUAACUUGUCAAAUUCCAAGACGGAAAAUGGCAUAACAAGAAGAAAGAUAAAAGUGUUGCAACUUUUAGCACUUGUUCUUCUUGUAUAAAAUUUCUUUUCUGCAGUAAUAUUGUCCAGAGUACACUAGAGUAUGUUAUCUAUGGUUCUAGAGACAUAUGAUUGUUUAUUUAUGUUAAAUAAUAAUCAUUCCAUGUAUGACUAUUAUUUGGGCUAAUUCAUCAUGGCAUAUUAUAUUGAGCCACAUAUGGCAAGAUCGAAUGAAUAGAUUGGCUAAUGAGGGAUAUUUGGGUUUCUUCUCUAGAAUAGACAUGCCAACUUGUGAAAAUUAUCUUGCGUAAAGAUUACACGUAAACCAUUUGAAAAAGCUAAUUUUCUAUUGCAAUUAAUCCAUUCUGAUAUCCGUGGUCCAAGGAAUGUGAGGGCUAGGUGUGGUCCUUUAUGUUUCAUUACGUUUAUUGAUGAUUUAACGCGCUUGGUUAUGUCUAUUUGAUUUCUCAUAAAUCUGAAGCACUAAAAUACUUUAAAAAAUAUUUGAAUGAAGUUGAAAAUCAAUUAGACAAAAGGAUUAAGACCUUAAGAACCGAUAGAGGGCAUGAAUAUCUAUCAAAAUAAUAUGAAGAAUUGUGGAAUAAAAAGGGCAUCACUAGACAGUUAUCUAUUCCUUACACACCUCAACAAAAUGGUUUAGCAAAAAGGAUGAAUAGAACACUAUUGGACAUGAUAAGGUCCAUGAUGGCACAAACAAAUUUACCUAUCUCUUUUUGGGGAGAUGCGUUAUUGAGUGCAGCCUACAUAUUGAACAAAGUACCUUCUAAAUCAGUUUCUUCCGGUCCUUAUGAGCUAUGGGCUGGUCACAACCAAACUUAAAUGAUUUAUGACCUUGGGGUUGUGCUGCAUAUGUAAAAGAUUCUUUUAGAAAGUUUGGUAAAUUAGAUCCAAAAAGCAAGAAAUAUACCUUUAUAAGAUAUUCAAAACACUCCAAAGGGUAUGUGUUCAUUGGUGAAUUAAAGGAUGGAAGUGUUACUGAGAUUGAAUCACGAGAUGUCAUAUUUCUAAAAAAUAAUUUUCCAAAGAAUGGCGAGGUAAAGAAUGGAGAGCCUUUUGAUGAAAUAUUGAGCUCAAAUAGUCAGCAAGUAUCUUCUGACACAGUUGAUAAUCAAAACAAUCAAGAUCUUGUUCUUGAUCCAAGUGGGAGUGGGAGUUCUCAAUCCCAAAAUCCUUAUGACGAAUUUGAAUUUCAACUACGAAAGAAUACCAAGAAAAAUAAACACAAACAUACUUAUAAGAUUAAAGAUUACGUUUUUUUGGUAUCUCCCACAGAAAUGGAUGAGCUAAAAUCCAUGACCGAGGCUUUAUCGAGCCCUGGAAAAUUUGAGUGGAUGGAAGCAAUGAAAGAAGAAUUAGAGUCCAUAAAAACCAACAAAGUCUGGAUCUAGUUUACCUUCCGCCUGGGCGUAGAGUCAUUGGGAACAAAUGUGUUCUCAAAAUUAAACGCAAAACGGAUGGGUCAAUAAAAAGAUACAAGGUACGAUUGUGGCAAAAAGCUUUACACAAGAAGCUAGAAUAGAUUAUAAGAAAAUAUUUUCACCAGUUGUGAAGUUUACCUUAAUUCACUUACUUUUGGCUAUUGUUGCACGUUUAGAUCUGGAAUUAUACCAAAUGGACGUGAAGACAUAUUUUCUCAAUGGAGAACAAAAUGAGAAAAUCUACAUGGAAUAAUUUGUAGGCUUUCAUCGUUAAAUGCCAAGAAAAGAAGGUUUGUAAAUUGAAAAGAUCUAUUUAUGGUCUGGAAAAAUCUUCAAGGCAAUGGUAUUUGAGAUUUCACAAGAAAGUGAUCUCGUAUGAUUUCACCAUGACCAAUAAAGACCAUUGCAUUUAUGUGAAGAAGUCC
rnacentral:lncRNA from 1 species